UGNCUCUAGAUUAGAGUUUGAUCAUGGCUCAGAUUGAACGCUGGCGGCGGGCCUAACACAUGCAAGUCGAGCGGUAACACAGGGAGCUUGCUCCUGGGUGACGAGCGGCGGACGGGUGAGUAAUGUCUGGGAAACUGCCUGAUGGAGGGGGAUAACUACUGGAAACGGUAGCUAAUACCGCAUAACGUCUUCGGACCAAAGUGGGGGACCUUCGGGCCUCAUGCCAUCAGAUGUGCCCAGAUGGGAUUAGCUAGUAGGUGGGGUAAUGGCUCACCUAGGCGACGAUCCCUAGCUGGUCGGAGAGGAUGACCAGCCACACUGGAACUGAGACACGGUCCAGACUCCUACGGGAGGCAGCAGUGGGGAAUAUUGGACAAUGGGCGCAAGCCUGAUCCAGCCAUACCGCGUGGGUGAAGAAGGCCUUCGGGUUGUAAAGCCCUUUUGUUGGGAAAGAAAUCCAGCCGGCUAAUACCUGGUUGGGAUGACGGUACCCAAAGAA
rnacentral:rRNA from 1 species